rnacentral:rRNA from 1 species
AGAGUUGAUCAUGGCUCAGGAUGAACGCUAGCGACAGGCUAACACAUGCAAGUCGAGGGGCGAGACAUAAAGUAAGCAAUACGUUGGUGGCGACCGGCGCACGGGUGAGUAACGCGUAUGCAACCUACCUAUCAGAGGGAAGUAACCGGCGAAAGUCGGACUAAUACCGCAUAAAACAGGGCACCGCAUGGUGAUAUUUGUUAAAGAAAUUCGCUGAUAGAUGGGCAUGCGUUCCAUUAGGUAGUUGGUGAGGUAACGGCUCACCAAGCCGACGAUGGAUAGGGGAACUGAGAGGUUGGUCCCCCACACUGGUACUGAGACACGGACCAGACUCCUACGGGAGGCAGCAGUGAGGAAUAUUGGUCAAUGGGCGGGAGCCUGAACCAGCCAAGUCGCCGUGAAGGAAGAAGGAUCUAUGGUUCGUAAACUUCUUUUGCAGGGGAAUAAAGUGCAGGACGUGUCCUGUUUUGUAUGUACCCUGAGAAUAAGGAUCGGCUAACUCCGUGCCAGCCGCGGC